AUUCAUGAAAAUUCGGGGGUAUAAAAGGAGUAGCGAUCGUUGAGUAAAGUUAACACAACAAAAAUAUAGCUUAAAAGUAGAACAAGUGAAACUGUGGAAGAACCAUGUCUCGUUACGUUUUCGCUCUCGUCCUUCUGGUUGUGGUUGCUGUGGGUGUAAGCGCUUUCCCAUCGGAGCAACCAUGCCCUGAAAAUAUGUUCUGGUCAGGCCUUGGAAGAAUGUGCGAGCCAAGCUGCGAAGAUCCGUCGUUCAGACUCUGUGGCGCUCCUCUCGACUUUGCCUGCCGCUGUAUGGAGGGCUUCUUCAGAGACGGAGAUAGGUGUAUUCCCUUGUCAGAAUGUCCAAAACACUAGGAAAUUUAUCAACGAUCAUCUCUGCUCCCUAACGAACCCCUUCGUGUAACUACGCUUCUAAUGCAACGACAAUAAUAAACAAUUUUGCACGCAGAAAUUUGUUUUAUUUCCAAUCACCUCCAGAAAAACAGUCCAAAGUAAUCGUACCAUUAUUUUAAUAUUCAGCCCUGCUAUGAUCUAACAAUAUACACGACACAUCGUUUUAGUAUGUUUUUUGUUUAUGAUUUGAAUAAUUAUAGAGUGACAAUAAAUCACUGAAUCAGAGAUUGUAUAGUACGGAAAUUCGCCGUGUGCUUGAACAACCAAACAGCCUCGAUACCAAUGUUAUCUCUGACGAAAGAACAGCCAACGUGGCGAACAUUAUCGAGAUAAUCACGAGUAUAAAAACGAAGAAUAUUCGAGAGGCCCGCAGACGUGAGCGAAUGCAAGACGUGUAACAUCGAAUAAGGAUUGACAAUGUUUCGAUACGUCUUCGUUCUUCUCCUGAUCGCUAUGGUGGUCGUAGCUGCUACUGCAGCGAAACACACUACUCCGAAACCAAGGAAGAAGUGUCCCCAAUAUGAGAAAUGGUCUAGGUGUGGAACUAGCUGUGAAGUAACCUGUGCCAUUUGGGACGAUGGUUUUACAGUCUGCCCGAAAUUUGUGAGUCAUGGAAACAAUUGUCUAUUUAAAAAUGAUAUAAAAUCUUGAAAUAUUCCGAGCUCUUUGGUUUCAGGAGUGCCAAAAACAUCUGGUUGCCUGCAGGUGCAAACCAGGUUACGUAAGAAACAACAAAAAGUGUAUCCCACCACAGAAAUGUCCCAAUUGGAAGGAUCCUCGUUCGUGAAAUGUAGAUUAUAUACGUUGGACUCGACAAAUAAAAGCACCAUGAAGUCAUUACAUUUGUAUUUAUUUACUGUAAAUUAUUUCAUUCUAUAUAUAAUUCGAACUCUAAUCUAUCCUCAACGAGCACUGGAUAAACGUGUAACCAGAUAACAAUGUUGGCAAUCUUCAGUUCGACGGGACGAUAAAGCUAUCGACUUUGCUUGAAAACAUGUAACUCGAAGGACUUUUUUAUCAGGGCAACGUAUAGCUGAAUCAAACGUAAAUAUAACGUAAUCGUCGCACGUGGCAAAAUAUCUCGAUUGGCGACACGGUAAAGAACGUAAGAAACCAUUGACAUCGAGUUUACUCAGCUUUUGCCAUCGAUCAUUUGAUUUAAAAAAUUACUUCCACAAUAAUUCCUACGAUAGCGUUAUCUCGAAAGGAAGAAAUUUGCAUAAAGGCGUGAGUAUAUAAAAUCUCUGGUAUCUAAACACGUAGUAUCAUAAACUAAAGUGAACUCGCAGCGAAAUCAUCUAAAAAUCGACCAUGUCUCGUUUCGUCAUCCUUCUCGUCCUCCUAACUACAGCAAUGGCCGUGUCCGCAAAUGAGGAAUUUCGACCGUUAGUCAAGUGCCCUCACAACGAGUUGUGGUCGUGGUGCGCGAAAAAUUGCGAACCAACUUGCAAAGUUCCCGUACCGAACGAGAAGACUUGUCCAGAAUUGGUGUGUAAUCCCAAG